rnacentral:misc_RNA from 1 species
AAGUCGUAACAAGGUCUCCGUUGGUGAACCAGCGGAGGGAUCAUUACCGAGUUUCCAACUCACAACCCACUGUGAACAUACCUACGUUGCUUCGGCGGCAACCCGGCCCCGGCCGGCGCCGCCGGAGACCCUAAACUCUCUGUUUUCCAAUGUGGUUACCUCUGAGAAAUCUUGAAAAUAAAUCAAAACCUUCAACAACGGAUCUCUUGGCUCUG